GACGGGCCCGCACAAGCAGCGGAGCGUGUGGUUUAAUUCGAUGCUACACGAAGAACCUUACCAGGGUUUGACAUACAAGUAGUAGGGAAAGGAAACUGGACCGACCCUUCGGGGAGCUUGUACAGGUGCUGCAUGGCUGUCGUCAGCUCGUGUCGUGAGAUGUUCGGUUAAGUCCGCUAACGAGCGCAACCCUCGCUGUGUGUUACAAGUGUCACACGGAACUGCCGGUCAUAAAAACGGAGGAAGGUGGGAUGACGUCAAAUCAUCAUGCCCCUUAUGUUCUGGGCUACACACGUGCUACAAUGGCCGGUACAGACGGACGCAAAGCCGCGAGGCGGAGCAAAUCCGAAAAAGCCGGUCUCAGUUCGGAUUGCAGGCUGCAAUUCGCCUGCAUGAAGUCGGAAUCGCUAGUAAUCGCAGGUCAGCAUACUGCGGUGAAUACGUUCCCGGGCCUU
rnacentral:rRNA from 1 species